GACGAACGCUGGCGGCGUGCUUAACACAUGCAAGUCGAACGGAAAGGCCUGCUUUCCCUUGUGGAUUGCGGGUACUCGAGUGGCGAACGGGUGAGUAACACGUGAGUGAUCUGCCCCCAACUUGGGUAUAAGCCUGGGAAACUGGGUCUAAUUCCCGAUAGGACUGCAGGGUGGUGCCUGUGGUGGAAAACGAUUUUCUAGUGGUUGGGGAUGCGCUCGAGGCCUAUCAGCUUGUUGGUUGGGUAAUGGCCUACCAAGGCGGGGACGGGUAGCCGGCCGGAGAGGGUGGACGGCGACAUUGGGACUGGGAUACGGCCCAGACGCCUACGGGAGGCAGCAGUGGGGAAUAUUGGACAAUGGGCGGAAGCCUGAUGCAGCGACGCAGCGUGGGGGAUGACGGCCUUCGGGUUGUAAACUCCUUUCGACCGCGAGGAAGCCACCUGGUUGGAAGGGUGGUGACGGUAGUGGUAGAAGAAGCACCGGCUAACUACGUG
rnacentral:rRNA from 1 species